GACGAACGCUGGCGGCGUGCUUAACACAUGCAAGUCGAACGGAAAGGCCCUGCUUUUGUGGGGUGCUCGAGUGGCGAACGGGUGAGUAACACGUGAGUAACCUGCCCUUGACUUUGGGAUAACUUCAGGAAACUGGGGCUAAUACCGGAUAGGAGCUCCUGCUGCAUGGUGGGGGUUGGAAAGUUUCGGCGGUUGGGGAUGGACUCGCGGCUUAUCAGCUUGUUGGUGGGGUAGUGGCUUACCAAGGCUUUGACGGGUAGCCGGCCUGAGAGGGUGACCGGCCACAUUGGGACUGAGAUACGGCCCAGACUCCUACGGGAGGCAGCAGUGGGGAAUAUUGCACAAUGGGCGGAAGCCUGAUGCAGCAACGCCGCGUGCGGGAUGACGGCCUUCGGGUUGUAAACCGCUUUCGCCUGUGACGAAGCGUGAGUGACGGUAAUGGGUAAAGAAGCACCGGCUAACUACGUGCCAGCAGCCGCGGUGAUACGUAGGGUGCAAGCGUUGUCCGGAUUUAUUGGGCGUAAAGGGCUCGUAGGUGGUUGAUCGCGUCGGAAGUGUAAUCUUGGGGCUUAACCCUGAGCGUGCUUUCGAUACGGGUUGACUUGAGGAAGGUAGGGGAGAAUGGAAUUCCUGGUGGAGCGGUGGAAUGCGCAGAUAUCAGGAGGAACACCAGUGGCGAAGGCGGUUCUCUGGGCCUUUCCUGACGCUGAGGAGCGAAAGCGUGGGGAGCGAACAGGCUUAGAUACCCUGGUAGUCCACGCUGUAAACGGUGGGUACUAGGUGUGGGGUCCAUUCCACGGGUUCCGUGCCGUAGCUAACGCUUUAAGUACCCCGCCUGGGGAGUACGGCCGCAAGGCUAAAACUCAAAGGAAUUGACGGGGCCCCGCACAAGCGGCGGAGCAUGCGGAUUAAUUCGAUGCAACGCGUAGAACCUUACCUGGGUUUGACAUGGAUCGGGAGCGCUCAGAGAUGGGUGUGCCUCUUUUGGGGUCGGUUCACAGGUGGUGCAUGGCUGUCGUCAGCUCGUGUCGUGAGAUGUUGGGUUAAGUCCCGCAACGAGCGCAACCCUUGUUCACUGUUGCCAGCACGUUAUGGUGGGGACUCAGUGGAGACCGCCGGGGUCAACUCGGAGGAAGGUGGGGAUGACGUCAAGUCAUCAUGCCCCUUAUGUCCAGGGCUUCACGCAUGCUACAAUGGCUGGUACAGAGAGUGGCGAGCCUGUGAGGGUGAGCAAAUCUCGGAAAGCCGGUCUCAGUUCGGAUUGGGGUCUGCAACUCGACCUCAUGAAGUCGGAGUCGCUAGUAAUCGCAGAUCAGCAACGCUGCGGUGAAUACGUUCCCGGG
rnacentral:rRNA from 1 species